AGUCUGAUUACAAGUGAAGGCCUCACGUACCUGCCUCACAGGCACACACGGGGCCACAGGUCUCUCCUUGCCUUUUCCUCACAGAUUCGCCAGGGCCAGCUCCGCUCUGCCCCCGCCAUGCAGGGCCUCGGGGACAGUCUGUCCCCAGCCCACAGUGCCUGCCAGUGCCAGCGGCUCCAGGACGGGUGAGGGGAGAAGGCUCCUCUGCCCCCACACUGCUGCUGAGGGGAGGAGAGCCCGCAGAGCCGGGCUGGAGCUGUCGGCCAGGAGAUGAACACAGAGAGAUGGCCCUGGAGUAUUCCACGCUGAUACACAGAUGGAGUCAGAGCUGACUGGUCAAAGCUGUUCCUCUCACAGACACCAGUGAACACCUGUUGACAUGUGUGACCUCCCCAGCCUGGCUGUUGGUCUGACCUCACCUAGCCAACACGAGCACUUCAGCUGUCAACGACUUCACUGGAGAUGUGAACACUGGCCACUUCUGCCACUCAGAGCCCCAGUGGCAGGAGUGCGUGUCCAGCAAAGAACACAAAAUCGGGGAAAUUAAAUGUUCAAAAGGCUAACUGCCAGGGUCACAAGUUUGCAUAAAGCCGGCAGCGGUUCCAUUUCCAGACUGGGAGUGCUUCCCUGCUGUCCCUUCCCGAGAGCUGUUUCCCAAGCCCUGCUCUGACCCCCCCGGGCGAUCCCUCGGUGCUGUUCUGCCGCGGUGCGACCCACGCGUGGUGCCACGUCCCCGGGGACUGCGGGGAUUGGCUCAGGCAGUAAAACAUUUUUCUCCCAAGGGAACGGGCAGCUUUUGCCAAGGGAAUGGUCAGCUUUCACCGGGCAUGCACCUUUGUUUUGUACGGGGUUACGGGAGCAGCCCGAAGGCAGGGGAUGUACUUUUCGCCCCAAGAUAACAGAUCUGGGAGCUCCACAUGCUGAGCCUUCCCCCAGCACUCCAGUGAGGUUUCCCUAUGCGAUACACCGCCGGGGCGCGCACGGUCGCCCCUGCCCGCGCCGGGGCU